rnacentral:rRNA from 1 species
GACGAACGCUGGCGGCGUGCUUAACACAUGCAAGUCACGGGGGCCCGCAAGGGCAACCGGCGAACGGUGCGUAACACGUGAGCAACCUGCCUAUCUGCGGGGGAUAGCCGGCCCAACGGCCGGGUAAUACCGCAUACGUUCACGAGGGGACAUCCCCUUGUGAGGAAAACUCCGGUGCAGAUAGAGGGGCUCGCGGCCUAUCAGCUAGUUGGUGAGGUAACGGCUCACCAAGGCGACGACGGGAGCUGGUCUGAGAGGAUGGCCAGCCACA